CCCUUCUCUUUUAAACAGUCUCUCCAUAUGCCCAGGCUGGCCUCAAGCUCUCCAUCCUCCUGUUUCAGCCUCCAGAGUGCUGAGGUUACAGGGUCCCCCCUCCUUCUGCUCUGCUGGCGCUCGACCCAGAAGGCAGAGUCUCUCAAUCAAGCCAGAGCCCACCAUUUGGCUGGUAUUGCUUCUCAACUUAUUCUAGGAACCUCCCUAAGCACGGAUCUAUCUCUAUUUCCUGUUUCUUCUUGGUCUUUUUGAGGUAGAGUCUCACUAUAUAGUCCAAAUUGGCCUGUUCCUGCCUCUGGGUGACUGGGGUUCCAUAUGUAGACCAUUAAGACUGCUUUUGCUGUCGUUUUAAAAGCUCCAAACAGCCUCAGUUUCCCUCUCUGGGAAACGAGGGUAAUGGUGCCUCCUGUAUCAGGCUAUGAUGGCGGUGGAAAGAUUCUGUGAUAACUUCACAGAGCCCGGCCAGAUGACAGCUGGUCCUGUGAUUGCAAGCAGGCAUGCCCUAGGGAGGAGGUGGUAGUUAAAGACCUGUUCUCGGGGAUCAACUGGAAAGCACACAGAACCCCCGAAGUAGCUGGCCCAGCUGAGCCCCACUCUCUUUACCACAUCCCUUCUCUCCUUCACUGAGGCUUAGGACCUCUAUCUCUAGAUAGUUCUAGUUCUUUCUCUGUAAUAAAUAUUUGUCAUCUGCAGCCUUAAUCAAUCACAGUGAGAGGCAUAUCUGUGAAGUGUGCAGCCAAGGUCCUUGGAAGGUCCUGGAGGCGAAGUUGGAGAGGAAGUACUGGCCUGAGGCCAAGGGCAGCAAAGAGUGAAAAGGGGCCGGGGACAGUGUACAGAGCAGUGGCUGGCUUGUCUCCACUAUCAGACUUUACUCCAGGAGGAGGCAGAGGCCGUGUGAGAGCCGUGCCGCUUCACCUGGCUCCUGACCUAUAUUGGAAGUGACAAACACGGGCUCCGAAAUGCUUACAAGGCACCUUGCCGGCAAGCACUGUGAAGUGGUGAGUCAGGUUGCGAAAGUCUGAGGAAAAAAAAGGAGUCGGGUGAGAGGAGGAGGAGGAGGGAGGUGGUGUAGGGAGGGCCCUGAAGAUGGAGUGAAAGAGGUUGUAUCCUACUAGUGGGAAGGGGGAAGGCGAGGCUCACUGUAUAGAGUGAGGGAAUUGUUUUGUGAAAACUUGUCUCAAGAGUAUAUGUGUAUUCUGUUCUGAUGGGAGAUACCUCUCUCUCGCUAUGAGUCAUGUUCUAAGUGGGCAUAGAUCAGAGUCCAUACUCAGAGUAGUCUCUGUGACAGCCAGUGUUAACUAUUUGACACACUAUAGAAUCACUGGGAAAGGGAGUCUCAAUCAAGUUGGUCUGUAGGGGAUUUUCUUGAUUACAUUAAUUGAAGUGGAAAGACCUGUCCACUGUGGGUGGUACCAUUCCCUAGGUAGGGGAAGCCUAGGUUGUAUAUGAGUAGAUAAGAGCACUAGCAUGAAGCUUUCACGUCAUUGCUCUCUACUCUCGCCUGUGGAUGUGACUAGCUGUUUCACAUUCCUGAGACCUUGACUUUCCUGGGAUGAUGGGUUAUAGCUGACGUCAUGAGCUAAAUAAAACCAUUUUCCCUUAAGCUGCUUUUGUUGUGUAUUUUAUCAUGGCAACAAGAACAGAAAAUGAGACUAGAUGCUGAGCAAGUCCCACAAACUGUGUGCCCAAGCUCUGGACAGAGCAGAUAGACACAGUCUUCCUCUGAACUAUGCUUGCUGCAGUCCCUCCACCAGCAUGGAGAAGAAGCUCACAAGGACUGUCCUUCAAGCCUAUAUCCAUGCUCAGCUGUGCCAGCAUCUCUGGGCCUCAGGAACACCGAAGUCCUCAUUCUGAGCCAGGUAGGCCCACACAUGUCCCAGACGGUUACAUUCCUUCCUGGCUAGAGGCUUUUGUCACCCCAGGCUGUUGUGGGAAGUUGCCAUCAGGAGCAUCUAAAGACCUGUGACAGGAAAUUGGAGCUGCCAAUCUCUUAGCAAUCGGGGUACAGUUUUUUUCCUGCACUGCAUCUCAGGAAGUGAUGGUAAGUGCCCUGGAAUCACAGAGGUCCUGUAUGUGCUCCAUAUUACCAGUCAGAUCCAGCUAAUGCAA
rnacentral:lncRNA from 1 species